CCAACCAAGAAAAUGAAAAGAUAGGGGAUAGAUGGGAGACUGAGUGUGUUUGCAGCAGGGGAGUCUAAACUUCAUAAAACCUUUAACACAGUAGUCAGAGUUAAUAGUUAGAGCUGGAUAUCCAAAUUUUGCAUUUGAAAAGUGAGGAAUUGAUUCAGUUAGCAUUUAUAAUAUUUAUAGUAGCUCAUUUGAAUGUUUUUGCACAGUGGACAACACUGGCCUCCCCUUUGUUUGCUAUAGUGGUAUGUUCAAGGGAUGUCUCGACUGUCAGUAUAGCUGAAAGUGUUCUGCAGAUUGUCAAUCCACCUGUACACUGUAAUUAUCUGCUGGAACGAACAGUAUAGUUUGUACAAAUAACAGUACAAAUCAAAACAGAGCUGAUAAGAGAGGAUGGCUGCACCUCAAAAAGGCGAUCUGUCAGCAUCUGAGAGGAAGAUCCUGCAAAUAAUUGCUGCUGGCGAUGUACAGGAGGCUGCCCAGCUGCUUGCCAGCCAAGAAGUACGAGUCAACUGUUUGGAUGAGUACGGCAUGACUCCACUGAUGCAUGCAGCCUAUAAGGGCAAGGCAGAUAUGUGUCGUCUGCUGCUGCAGCAUGGGGCCGAUGUUAACUGCAACCAGCAUGAAUAUGGCUACACCGCUCUCAUGUUUGCUGGCUUGUCAGGGAAGACAGAUAUCACCUUCAUGAUGCUGGAUGCAGGAGCAGAGACAGACCUGGUGAAUUCUGUGGGUCGCACUGCUGCUCAGAUGGCGGCAUUUGUAGGCCAGCAUGAAUGUGUUACAGUGAUAAACAACUUCUUCUCACGGGCAAGACUGGAGUACUACACCAGGCCACAGGGGCUGGAGAGGGAGCCCAAGCUGCCCCCCAGGCUAGCAGGGCCCCUGCACAAGAUUAUCAUGACCACCAACCUCAACCCAGUCAAGAUAGUCAUGCUGGUGAAGGAGAACCCUGUGCUGGUUGACGUGGCGGCUCUAGAGAAGUGUUACCAAGUAAUGGACCUGCUGUGUGAGCAAUGCGUGAAGCAACAAGACAUGAACGAGGUUCUGGCCAUGAAGAUGCACUACAUCAGCUGUGUGCUGCAGAAAUGCCUGGCCUUCCUACAGAAACAAGAUGACAAGCUGGAUGCACUUGUCAAGACCCUGUUGAGGGGGAGAGACAGUGAUGGCUUCCCACAGUACCAAGAGAAGUUCAUCCGGGACUGCAUCAGGAAGUUUCCUUACUGCGAGACCACACUCCUUCAGCAGCUGGUGAGGAGCAUUGCACCAGUAGAGAUUGGCAAUGACCCAACAGCAUUCUCAGUGUUGACUCAGGCCCUGACGGGACAAAUGGCAUUUGUAGAUGGUGACUACUGUGCUACAUGCGGGGAGAAGGGAGCAGAUAAGAGGUGCUCCCUAUGUAAAGCCGUAAGUCAAAGUCUGUUGAAAGCCACUAUCUGCCAGACCUUGUAUUUGAAAAGGUAGGCCUUUAUUUCUAAUCCCUGCGGUUUGAAAAUUAUAUUUGGUUAUAUGUUAGUGUGAAGCCUCCUGGUUUUCUAAUCUGCUCCUGUUUGCCUUAUUAUUUAUAUUACUGCAUUAUGCUGUUUAUACAAACUAAACAUUUCCUGAAUUUGUUUUUACUUAAAAUCCCUAUAUCCCUAUACACUAUCCCUAUAGUGUACAUAACUGGUAUGCAGUAAGCAAGCGUGACAAAAAUCAGGAAUGCAAAAUGUCAUUUGUGUUACUACGCCCCUUUGCGUACUUGACCAUGUUGAUAACGUGACGGUCAAGUGCGUAAAGAUGAGUAGUAACAUUACACAUUCCUGAUUUUUGUCACACUUGUAUAGCUGUGUACCAGUUAUGUGCAUCCCUGCCUAUAACAUUUCAGUGGACUGAAAUAUGCUGCUGCCAUCUUGUGGAACUUCUACAAAAUGUGUUUUGUUUUUUUUUUUCUGUGACAUCGAUACAUAUUGUGGGCAAAAGUCAAUGGACAUCUGACCAUCACACCCAUAUGAAAUUGUAAGGUUGUAAGGUUAGGGACUGUCCUUGCUUGCAGUCGGCAUUCUUAAUCCUCCCUAAUGUGUUUAUUGAGGUUGUAAUCAAGGUUCUGUACAGGCAAAUUGAGUUCCUCCAGUCCAAACUUGUCAAACCAUUUCUUUAUGGACCUUGCUUCGUGCACAGGGGCACAGCCAUGCUGGGACAGCAAAGGGCGUUUCUCACACUGUUGCCACAAAGUUGGAAGUGUCCAGUUGGCAAAAAUGUCAUCACAUCUUGUAACCUCAAGAAGACCCUACAAUGUAACCAAGACCUUGGAACAGCCCCAGACCAUUCCUCCUCCACUAUGCAUUCCGAUGACUUACUGCAGUUUAAGAUGCCAAAAACUCCACUGGUUCACCCAUAAAAGGAUGUGCAGGUCUCUGGAGGUGCAGGAU